rnacentral:lncRNA from 1 species
GCUGAGCAUAUUCUCAGCUCUGUUUUAAAUUUUAUUUCCAGAUGGGGUUUGCUCAAUUUCUUCAGUUGGCCUUAAAUUUUGAACUUCAUGCCUUAGACUCCAGAAUAGUAGAUAUUUCAGGUGUGCACCACCAUAUGAACCCUAUCUUUUGUAUGUAAACGUUUGAGCUUUCUACUUUCUUAUUUAUUUCAGUAUUAUUUAUUAAUAAAUUAUAUUCAGAAUUUAAUAUGUCAAAAUAUGUUGUUAUGUUCUAUGAGUGAAGGGAUAAAAUACCAGUUUAUUAUCACACUCUUUUCCCAAUAUCCUAGCAUGUUUUAAGAGUUUUGUUGUUGGUGUUUUCUGUAGUUCCACCAUUUAUUUUAUUAUGAGGAUUACCCUGGUUGAUUUUACUUCAUAACAUGAAUCAUGUGGCAUCAUGGUAUUUUGGUCAGCUGUAGACUUUAUGUACAACCAUGGAUCUAGCAAAUAUCUUAGCCAUGUACUAGUCUAUACCAUCUAGAUUCUGUCAUUGCACUCAGAGAAUUGGAAAAUUGCAGAAGAUUCUUAGGAUAAAUUUUCCAGAGUGUAUUUCCAUAAAGUGAGAAAUCGUUAUAUAUGCCUAUGUUUGCAAUUAUAUACUGUAUAAUUGAUAUAAUUUUUGUUUGUUGAAUUUUCAAAUUUGCUAGUGCUUUUUAAAUUGUAUCUGCUUUUUUUAUUUGUACGGAAGAUUGAACCCAUUGGUGCUUAACAAUAAAGUCACAUCCUCAGUCCUUUUUUAUAUUUUAUUUAGAGACAGAGUAUUGCUGAGUUGCUAAGUGCUUCACUAAGUUGCUCAAUACAAUAUAUAUGACAAUAUUAUAUAUAAUAUUGUCUUAGAAUUUAUGAUCCUUUUUUCUUAUCCUCCUCAGUCACUGGAACUAGGGUUGUCCAUCACUUGAAUGGGUGCAUUUGCUUUUUAAAAGCACCAACAUUGAUACUGGUAACUCUGUGUUAUGUUUAUCUUUAAUAGCUUCUAAUUUUGCUUUUUAUUGGGAUGGAUGAUUUGAUAAUAAAUUCUAGUCAUUUUAUGGCUUACUAAAUUUUUUGUAUGUUUUAUUUUCACCUCAGUUAUAGAUGAAUUCCAAUUUUUUCCAGCUGUAUGGAGGUCUAAGUGAAACAUAAUAAUCUAUAUGGAUAAUGUUAAAGAAAUGGAACCACAAUUUUACCCAGUUUUUUGACUGCACUGUAUAUGCCCAAAAAACAUAAAAUCAGCAUACUACAUUGACACAGCCACAUUAAUGUUUAUAGCAGCACAAUUCACAAUAGCUAAGCUAUAAAACCAACCAUUCAAUGAUGAAUGGGUCCAUUCAAUGAUGACAGGAUAAAAAACUGUUGCUUAUGUACACAAUAAACUAUGAAUUGACCAUAAAGAAUGACUUUAUGACAUUUGCCAGGAAAUGGAUGAAUCUGGGAUUUUAUGCUAAGUAAAACAAACCAUUUUUUUAAAACCAAAAGUUGAAAGUUAUUGCUGAUAUGUGAAAUCUAAAGCUCAUAAAAUAGGGAAGGGUAAGAAAAGAAGAUCAGUAGAUUGCACAAUGUUAAACAAAAAAUAAAUAAAUGAAUGAAUAAAUAAAUAAAAGGGACAAAGAUAGAAAUAUAAAAGAUAUAAAUCUGUAAGUUAAUCCUAACAUCGUAGCCACCAACAAGAACAGGAUUUUAAUUAGGAUAAGAUAUAUCCCAUGCUUGCAUAAUACCAUAAAAAUUGAUUUUUACUGUCAGUUAGAACUAGAAAGAAC